rnacentral:rRNA from 1 species
UACGAAGGGGGCUAGCGUUGUUCGGAAUUACUGGGCGUAAGGCGUGCGCAGGCGGCUUUCCAAGUCAGUGGUGAAAGCCCGGAGCUCAACUCCGGAAAUGCCAUUGAAACUGUGAAGCUUGAGAACGAGAGAGGUGAGUGGAAUUCCCAGUGUAGAGGUGAAAUUCGUAGAUAUUGGGAAGAACACCAGUGGCGAAGGCGGCUCACUGGCUCGUAACUGACGCUCAUGCACGACAGCGUGGGGAUCAAACAGG